rnacentral:rRNA from 1 species
AUUGAACGCUGGCGGCAUGCCUUACACAUGCAAGUCGAACGGCAGCACGGGAGCAAUCCUGGUGGCGAGUGGCGAACGGGUGAGUAAAGUAUCGGAACGUGCCCAGUCGUGGGGGAUAACGUAGCGAAAGUUACGCUAAUACCGCAUACGAUCUAUGGAUGAAAGCGGGGGAUCGCAAGACCUCGCGCGAUUGGAGCGGCCGAUAUCAGAUUAGGUAGUUGGGGGGGUAAAGGCUCACCAAGCCGACGAUCUGUAGCUGGUCUGAGAGGACGACCAGCCACACUGGGACUGAGACACGGCCCAGACUCCUACGGGAGGCAGCAGUGGGGAAUUUUGGACAAUGGGCGAAAGCCUGAUACAGCCAUGCCGCGUGCAGGAUGAAGGCCUUCGGGUUGUAAACUGCUUUUGUACGGAACGAAAAGGUUUGGCCUAAUAAGCUGAGCUCAUGACGGUACCGUAAGAAUAAGCACCGGCUAACUACGUGCCAGCCGCCGCGGUAA